rnacentral:rRNA from 1 species
GAUGAACGCUGGCGGCGUGCCUAAUACAUGCAAGUCGAGCGAACAGACGAGGAGCUUGCUCCUUUGACGUUAGCGGCGGACGGGUGAGUAACACGUAGGUAACCUACCUAUAAGACUGGGAUAACUUCGGGAAACCGGAGCUAAUACCGGAUAAUAUUUCGAACCGCAUGGUUCGAUAGUGAAAGAUGGCUUUGCUAUCACUUAUAGAUGGACCUGCGCCGUAUUAGCUAGUUGGUAAGGUAACGGCUUACCAAGGCAACGAUACGUAGCCGACCUGAGAGGGUGAUCGGCCACACUGGAACUGAGACACGGUCCAGACUCCUACGGGAGGCAGCAGUAGGGAAUCUUCCGCAAUGGGCGAAAGCCUGACGGAGCAACGCCGCGUGAGUGAUGAAGGUCUUCGGAUCGUAAAACUCUGUUAUUAGGGAAGAACAAACGUGUAAGUAACUGUGCACGUCUUGACGGUGCCUAAUCAGAAAGCCACGGCUAACUACGUG